rnacentral:rRNA from 1 species
UCUAAGAUUAAACCAUGCAUGCGGAGUUCAUCUCAAAGAGAAACUGCGAACGGCUCAUUAGAGCAGAUGUCAUUUAUUCGGAACGUCCUAUUGGAUAACUGCGGUAAUUCUGGAGCUAAUACAUGUAAAUAAACCCUGACUUUCGAAAGGGUGCAAUUAUUAGAGCAAAUCAAUCACCUUCGGGUGCUGUUUGCUGACUCUGAAUAACGCAGCAUAUCGGCGGCUUGUCCGCCGAUAUUCCGAAAAAGUGUCUGCCCUAUCAACCUGAUGGUAGUCUAUUAGUCUACCAUGGUUAUUACGGGUAACGGAGAAUAAGGGUUCGACUCCGGAGAGGGAGCCUUAGAAACGGCUACCACAUCCAAGGAAGGCAGCAGGCGCGAAACUUAUCCAAUCUUGAAGAGAUGAGAUAGUGACUAAAAAUAAAAAGACCAUUCCUAUGGAACGGUCAUUUCAAUGAGUUGAUCAUAAACCUUUUUCGAGGAUCAAGUGAGUCAGGUGC